GACGAACGCUGGCGGCGUGCUUAACACAUGCAAGUCGAGCGGUAAGGCCCUUUCGGGGGUACACGAGCGGCGAACGGGUGAGUAACACGUGGGUGACCUGCCCUCAGCUCUGGGAUAAGCCCGGGAAACUGGGUCUAAUACUGGAUAUGACUCCAUGACGCAUGUUGUGGGGUGGAAAGCCUUGUGCGGCUGGGGAUGGGCCCGCGGCCUAUCAGCUUGUUGGUGGGGUGAUGGCCUACCAAGGCGACGACGGGUAGCCGGCCUGAGAGGGCGACCGGCCACACUGGGACUGAGACACGGCCCAGACUCCUACGGGAGGCAGCAGUGGGGAAUCUUGCGCAAUGGGCGAAAGCCUGACGCAGCGACGCCGCGUGAGGGAUGACGGCCUGG
rnacentral:rRNA from 1 species